rnacentral:rRNA from 1 species
CCUACGGGAGGCAGCAGUAGGGAAUAUUGCUCAAUGGGGGAAACCCUGAAGCAGCAACGCCGCGUGGAGGAUGACGGUUUUCGGAUUUUAAACCCCUUUUGUUAGAGAAGAUAAUCACGGUAUCUAUCGAAUAAGCACCGGAUAAAUCCGGGCCAGCAGCCGCGGUCAUACGUAGGGCGCAAGCGGUAAUCGGAAUCAUGAGGCGUUAAGAGUGCGUAGGCGGGAUAGCAAGUCAGAUGUGAAAGCCUAGGGAUUAAACAUAGAACUGCAUUUGACAAUGUUAUUCUAGAGUAUGGGCGAGGUAGGUGGAAUUCUUGGUGUAGGGGUAAAAUCCAUAGAGAUCAAGCAGAAUACUGAUUGCGAAGGC